GACGAACGCUGGCAGCGUGCAUAACACAUGCAAGUGGAGCGACGGAACGAUCCUUCGGGGUCGCAAGCCGAGCCGCGAACGGGUGAGUAUCACGUGGGCAAUCUGCCCUGUUGAACGGGAUAGCCCGGGGAAACCCGGAUUAAUACCGUAUGAGCUCUGAGGCCAAAAGGCUUGAGAGGAAAGGAAGCUUCGGCCUCCGCGACAGGAUGAGCCCGCGGCCUAUUAGCUGGUUGGUGGGGUAAUGGCCUAC
rnacentral:rRNA from 1 species